CAUCUACUCUCUCCCUCCUAAAAUUCUUGUUUUAGAUUUGUUUAGAUAUGAAUGUAUCUAGUCAUGUUUUAAUAUUUAGAUUACAUUCAUUUCUUGACAAAUCUAAGAUAAGAAUUUUGGAACUGAGGGGUUAUGAA
rnacentral:pre_miRNA from 2 species